CAAUAGCGUAUAUUAAAGUUGUUGCAGUUAAAAAGCUCGUAGUUGGAUUUGUGGCGGUUCCUGUGGUCCGAUUUCGGUACUUUCGGGGACUGCCAUCCUUGGGUGGAUCCUGUGUGGCAUUAGGUUGUCGUGCAGGGGAUGCCCAUCGUUUACUGUGAAAAAAUUAGAGUGUUCAAAGCAGGCUUACGCCGUUGAAUAUAUUAGCAUGGAAUAAUGAGAUAGGACCUUGGUACUAUUUUGUUGGUUUGCGCACCGAGGUAAUGAUUAAUAGGGACAGUUGUGGGUAUUCGUAUUCCAUUGUCAGAGGUGAAAUUCUUGGAUUUCUGGAAGACGAACGAAUGCGAAAGCAUUUACCAAGGAUGUUUUCAUUA
rnacentral:rRNA from 1 species